AACGAACGCUGGCGGCAUGCCUAACACAUGCAAGUCGAACGAGACCUUCGGGUCUAGUGGCGCACGGGUGCGUAACGCGUGGGAACCUGCCCUUAGGUUCGGAAUAACUCCCCGAAAGGGGUGUUAUAACGGGUAAAUGCUUUGGGCCCAAAGUUUUAUCGCUUUUGGUUGGGCCCGCGUUGGAUUAGCUAGUUGGUAGGGUAAAAGCCUACCAAGGCGACGAUCCAUAGCUGGUCUGAGAGGAUGAUCAGCCACACUGGGACUGAGACACGGCCCAGACUCCUACGGGAGGCAGCAGUGGGGAAUAUUGGACAAUGGGCGCAAGCCUGAUCCAGCCAUACCGCGUGGGUGAAGAAGGCCUUCGGGUUGUAAAGCCCUUUUGUUGGGAAAGAAAAGCAGCAGGUUAAUACCCCGCUGUUCUGACGGUACCCAAAGAAUAAGCACCGGCUAACUUCGUG
rnacentral:rRNA from 1 species